GCUCAGGACGAACGCUGGCGGCGUGCCUAAUACAUGCAAGUCGAGCGGACUUGUAGGAGCUUGCUCCUGCAGGUUAGCGGCGGACGGGUGAGUAACACGUGGGCAACCUACCUAUAAGACUGGGAUAACUUCGGGAAACCGGAGCUAAUACCGGAUGACAUAAAGGAACUCCUGUUCCUUUAUUGAAAGAUGGCUUCGGCUAUCACUUACAGAUGGGCCCGCGGCGCAUUAGCUAGUUGGUGAGGUAACGGCUCACCAAGGCGACGAUGCGUAGCCGACCUGAGAGGGUGAUCGGCCACACUGGGACUGAGACACGGCCCAGACUCCUACGGGAGGCAGCAGUAGGGAAUCUUCCGCAAUGGACGAAAGUCUGACGGAGCAACGCCGCGUGAACGAUGAAGGCCUUCGGGUCGUAAAGUUCUGUUGUUAGGGAAGAACAAGUGCUAGUUAAAUAAGCUGCACCUUGACGGACCACCAAAAGCC
rnacentral:rRNA from 1 species